GCUUACGGCCAUACCACCCUGAACAUGCCCGAUCUCGGAAGCUAAGCAGGGUCGGGCCUGGUUAGUACUUGGAUGGGAGACCGCCUGGGAAUACCAAGAGCUGUAAGCU
rnacentral:rRNA from 1 species